rnacentral:rRNA from 1 species
UACGGAGGAUGCAAGCGUUAUCCGGAAUGAUUGGGCGUAAAGCGUCCGCAGGUGGCUGUGUAAGUCUGCUGUUAAAGAGUGGGGCUCAACCUCAUAAAAGCAGUGGAAACUACACGGCUAGAGUGCGUUCGGGGCAGAGGGAAUUCCUGGUGUAGCGGUGAAAUGCGUAGAUAUCAGGAAGAACACCGGUGGCGAAAGCGCUCUGCUAGGCCGCAACUGACACUGAGGGACGAAAGCUAGGGGAGCGAAUGGG